rnacentral:rRNA from 1 species
ACGGAGGAUGCAAGCGUUAUCCGGAAUGAUUGGGCGUAAAGCGUCCGCAGGUGGCAAUGUAAGUCUGCUGUUAAAGAGUCUAGCUCAACUAGAUAAAAGCAGUGGAAACUACAUAGCUAGAGUACGUUCGGGGCAGAGGGAAUUCCUGGUGUAGCGGUGAAAUGCGUAGAGAUCAGGAAGAACACCAGUGGCGAAGGCGCUCUGCUAGGCCGUAACUGACACUGAGGGACGAAAGCUAGGGGAGCGAAUGGG